rnacentral:rRNA from 1 species
CGCCUGGGGAGUGCGGCCGCAAGGUUAAAACUCAAAUGAAUUGACGGGGGCCCGCACAAGCGGUGGAGCAUGUGGUUUAACUCGACGCAACGCGAAGAACCUUACCUGGCCUUGACAUGCAGAGAACUUUCCAGAGAUGGAUUGGUGCCUUCGGGAACUCUGACACAGGUGCUGCGUGGCCGUCGUCAGCUCGUGUCGUGAGAUGUUGGAUUAAGUCCCGUAACGAGCGCAACCCCUAUCCCUAGUUGCUAGCAGUUCGGCUGAGAACUCUAGGGAGACUGCCGGUGACAAACCGGAGGAAGGUGGGGAUGACGUCAGGUCAUCAUGGCCCUUACGGCCAGGGCUACACACGUGCUACAAUGGCGCGCACAGAGGGCUGCAAACCCGCGAGGGGGAGCCAAUCUCACAAAACGCGUCGUAGUCCGGAUCGCAGUCUGCAACUCGACUGCGUGAAGUCGGAAUCGCUAGUAAUCGUGAAUCAGAAUGUCACGGUGAAUACGUUCCCGGGCCUUGUACACACCGCCCGUCACACCAUGGGAGUGGAUUGCACCAGAAGUGGUUAGUCUAACCUUCGGGAGGACGAUCACCACGGUGUGGUUCAUGACUGGGGUGAAGUCGUAACAAGGUAACCGUA